GGCAGAGAAUAUAGCUCAGUGGUAAAGCACUUGCCUAGCAUGCAUGAAGCCCUGGGUUUGAUCCCCCCUCUCUGUCA
rnacentral:tRNA from 1 species